UACGAAGGGGGCUAGCGUUGUUCGGAUUUACUGGGCGUAAAGCGCACGUAGGCGGAUUGUUAAGUCGGGGGGUGAAAUCCUGGAGCUCAACUUCAGAAUUGCCUUCGAUACUGGCUUUCUAGAGGCUGGAAGAGGUUAGUGGAAUUCCCAGUGUAGAGGUGAAAUUCGUAGAUAUUGGGAAGAACACCAGUGGCGAAGGCGGCUAACUGGUCCAGAUCUGACGCUGAGGUGCGAAAGCGUGGGGAGCAAACAGGG
rnacentral:rRNA from 1 species